GUGCUGAUGGUGUAGGGGCGAAGCACGAGACCAUAUGCAGAGGCUAUAGUCCUCAAAGGGUUGUCCCGGGUUCAAGUCCUGGACUUGGCAACA